GACGAACGCUGGCGGCGUGCUUAACACAUGCCAGUCGAACGGAAAGGCCCUGCUUUUGUGGGGUGCUCGAGUGGCGAACGGGUGAGUAACACGUGAGUAACCUGCCCUUGACUUUGGGAUAACUUCAGGAAACUGGGGCUAAUACCGGAUAGGAGCUCCUGCUGCAUGGUGGGGGUUGGAAAGUUUCGGCGGUUGGGGAUGGACUCGCGGCUUAUCAGCUUGUUGGUGGGGUAGUGGCUUACCAAGGCUUUGACGGGUAGCCGGCCUGAGAGGGUGACCGGCGACAUUGGGACUGAGAUACGGCCCAGACUCCUACGGGAGGCAGCAGUGGGGAAUAUGGCACAAUGGGCGGAAGCCUGAUGCAGCAACGCCGCGUGCGGGAUGACGGCCUUCGGGUUGUAAACCGCUUUCGCCUGUGACGAAGCGUGAGUGACGGUAAUGGGUAAAGAAGCACCGGCUAACUACGUG
rnacentral:rRNA from 1 species